rnacentral:rRNA from 1 species
GAUGAACGCUGGCGGCGUGCCUAAUACAUGCAAGUCGAGCGAACAGACGAGGAGCUUGCGCCUCUGACGUUAGCGGCGCACGGGUGAGUCACACGUGGAUAAUCUACCUAUAAGACUGGUAUAACUUCGGGAAACCGGAGCUAAUACCGGAUAAUAUAUUGAACCGCAUGGUUCAAUAGUGAAAGACGGUUUUGCUGUCACUUCUAGAUGGAUCUGCGCCGCAUUAGCUGGUUGGUAAGGUAACGGCUUAUCAAGGCGACGAUGCGUAGCCGACCUGAGAGGGUGAUCGGCCACACUGGAACGGGGACGCGGACCAGACUCCUACGGGAGGCAGCAGUAGGGAAUCUGCCGCAGUGGGGGAAAGCCUGACGGAGCAACGCCGCGUGAGAGAUGAAGGUCUUCGGAUCGUAAAACUCUGUUAUUAGGGAAGAACAAAUGUGUAAGGAGCUAUGCACGGCUUGACGGUACCUAAUCAGAAAGCCACGGCUAACUACGUG